GCAAGAGACGGAUUCUUCCCAUAAUAUCUCCUGCUGAAAUCAUUCUUGUUUAGAGACGUCUACCCAAUUGUUUAGAAAGCUGAAGUAAAUUUAAUCUGGUUUAGUAUUUUAACUUCUUUUUAUGUUUUAAAGUAGGGCCGUAAAUUUUUCUCGAUUUUCCUGUCUUAUCUGUUACACACACACACACACACACACACACACACACCCAACAGUGAGGAUUUUUUUUUUUAAGCAAACAAGCUGUGUAUACGUUUCAUGAAAUUAAAUAAUUAAAUAGCAUUUCCCCAACAAGCCAAGGUAGAAAAGGAGAUAUGACAGAUUAGUUAUAGUAGCUCUGGCUUCAUUGCCUGAAUCCUCCAUUCUUCUGGUGAAUAAAAAUAAUAAAACAGCUUUAUGGAGCUGUCCAACCAGUAUAUUUUUUUUCCCUUUGUUAGUUACAUCAGUCCAACUUUGCUUCACCUUUGCCUCACAAGACUUAAAUAUGCUGCUAGGUGUAUCACCAGGUGUAUUCCUGGGUGUGGAAGCGGGAACACCCGCCAGCAGUUGAAACAGCUUUUGACCUAGAGUACUUAGCAGGGAGCUCCCUGACAUUUUUUUUUUCUUUUUCUUUUUGCUCUCCAGGAGGCAAAUGCAGGGCAGGGUAGAUUUACCCCAAGCUUCUUCAUCUUUACCUAAUGAGCCACCAACAUUUGAAGACCCCUGUCCACAGCUGAUCCAUUGGCCUGGGAGUAGAUGGAAGAAUGGCCAGCGUAUUCUAAAAGUAGCAGACGGAACUAGGAUGGGUGAGGGGUUGUUUAUGAUAUGCAAUGGUGACUCAGCUAAUACUGCACCACAAAAGGGAAAUGGAUGCCAACAAAAAAUUAGGAAUCUCAUCUCCAACAAAAAAAAAGAUGUAGCCACAAGUAUAUCUUUGUGCACUCGGGAUUUAGAUAAGUUUAGAUAGUAUAAACAUUCAGCAGAUGUUUGAUUACGAAAGAGGGCCACAGUUACUAACAACAUGCUACUAUAGCAUAGUGAAUUAAGAUUACCAAUGCUAUACAUACUUAUCUGGGAAUAUGCCCCAUUGAGUGUAAUAAUAUUUACUUCUGAGUAUAAUAAUCAUAAUUUAUUACUUAUACCCUGCUCACCUAGCCGGGCCUCCCCAGCCACUCUGGGCAGCUCCCAACAGAAUACUUAAAACAUGAUAAAACAUCAAACAUUAAAAACUUCCAUUAUUAUUAUUAUUAUUAUUAUGAGCAGGCAUGCACAGGAAAACACUAAAUUGUGAACCAGGAAGCCCCAAGUUCAAAUGCUUAGCUCUGGCAUGGAAGGUGAGCCAGACAAAUCUUAGCACGCUGACAUAAUCUGCAAUAUGGCCUGGUCUAAAAACUGGUCUACCUUACAACAUUGUUGUAAAUGUGUGUUUUUUUAAUGUUUAUAUGCCCUUUAAACACUCUUAAGGCUGAAAUAGUGCACACCUUCAUUUGGGGAAAAGCCAUAUUGAAUCCAAUGGGAUUUACUUCUGAGGAAACAUGUACAGAAUCGGUACAAUUUAAAUGAAAAUAAAAAGAUGAUGAAGAUGAUGGGAACCAUAAUUUCACAUCCAGACCCGCCGCACAGCCAUGAGCUGCAAUCCAGUUCUGUACCUACAGAGUCAUUCUGCACUGACAGACAACAACAUGCAACUUGUGCCCACACACACACACACACACACACUGAUUGGUAUAUAUAUUAUCAUGAAUGUAAUGCAGACACAGCUAAUAGGCAAUGUCUGUACCAUGCGACAGCUACUCGGUACCUGCUAAUAUUAACAUUUUAUUGAGUUGCGCUAUAAAAGGUAGGAAGCUAUUGAUAAGCACUGAUAAGACAUUCCCUGUUUAUAGUUUGUUUAUUUGUUUCUUAAAAUUUAUACACCACUUGAUUGUAAAAAAAAUAUGAAACAGGUUAUAGUUUAUGAGAUAUUUUGCAAUUAUUUAUACUGAUGGCAUAAGGAAAUAAACUUUUUAAAAAAAAUAUUAAUGAAUGCACUAGUUUACCACUAGGUGCGUGAUACUCUGGUGAUGACUGCAAUGUGAGAAAGAGAAACUGUAUUAUUAUUAUUAUUAUUAUUAUUAUUAUUAUUAUUUAGUCUUCAGCAAAUAUCCAUUAGGUUAAGAAGUGAGUGCUUAGCUUGGGAAAGUUUUCCCUUUGACUUCAUGCACAGAUUCUAAAAUUAAGAUCAGACAAGGAGCUGGAGGUGUCAGCCAAUAUCUGUGUCAAGUGAAUUAGAUUGACGCUGUCUGUCAACACCCACAUGUGCACAAUUGAUGAUAUGUCUAAUUAACAAUAUAUUUAAUAGUCUGUUUCACUGAAUGUUUAUGCUGUAAGUAUAUAUUUAAAGAAAUAUAUCACAAGAUGUCAGAGCAGCCUUCAAAGCAGCUUUUCAAUAAUGAAAACGGAAGGCAUGCUUUUAAUAAAAGGAAACAUUAAGUCCAAGUGCUAAUAAGCAAAGGCCCUAAUAUCUUAGAAUUAGAGUUAUGCAAAUUUUAGCUUAGAAAAGCAAUGCCUGACUAAAUAGAUGUAUAAUAGAAUCAUUUGAAUGUGAUGACAGGCAGGGAGAAAAUGAACUUGGUCUUUCUCCAAACUUGGGAGUCAAUGAGCCGAUUUAACAAAAGUACUUUUUUAAAAUGGAAGGAAAUAUGCUUCCAUCCAAUGUAAAUUAACUAUUGAUCUUUGAGGGUGGGAAAUAGACCAAACAUACUGAAAUUUGCCCACUGAUUGAACAAGAUGGUUGGUAGGAGGGAGAUAAGCUUUCUCAAUCUCAGAUUGUCACUGAAGAACAUCUAACUUAUUUAUGUUUCCUUUGAAGUGAUUACUCUUUAGAUUAAUGGCAAAAGCAGAAUGAAGAGCUAGACAGAACAUUGGUCAGUCCAUUAUAGCAGUGAUCCAACUAGACUGGCGUGCCUCUGUCAUACAUUGGGGUCAAAGUGAACUAUAUUGUAACCUGAGAGAUUGUUCACUUAUGGACCUCCAAUGUGUCCAAUUCAGUUAUGUUGGAGUUUCUUCUGAUUUUCUGUGCACAUCAGGAGCACGAACUGAACGCAGCCAUGCACCCAAGAGAACAGUAUGUACCUAGCUACUUUUGUGCAUUUGUGUUAGGCUAUGUUGGUUAGCACUGUUUUCUACUAAAUGCACCUAAAACAGGUGAAUGUGGGCCAUUAUUAUUAAAGCAGUAUACAGUUACACUGAAUAUGAAUAAGGAAAGCAUUCCAAUGCAACAUUUGAAAGCUGGAUACCUCUAUAUGGCAUAGCCAGUCUAAAUUUAAAAAAAAUACUACUGGAAGUAGUGUUACAACUCAGGAAACAAAAAACAAAACAAAAACAGAGAUAAAUGGCUGUGUGUCUUCUGGAGAUGUUCUGCCUUUAUAAGCAGCUUCUUUUAAAUGGCCUCUUCUGGAUCAAACAUCUUUAAGAGGUUUCAUAACAGCCAAAUCUAUUUUUGUCAAUGCUGUGGCAACUGAUGGCCUGUUAGAUGUAUUCCUAAGAAAAUAUUUAGGAUUCAUCUUGCUCCUUUACGGUGUCUGUUGUUCUUCAGUCCAGUUUUGAAAACUAGGGGCAGGGCAGAGGGGAGGGGAAGCAUUUUGUAAGGAUAAUGGCAUCGAGGGAAGUUUCUGCACUAAUGGCAUUUAAUGUAAAUUUAAAUUUUGAGUUUUACCUAGCAGGAGGCAUGGACAUGACUGACAGAUGUUUUGUUUGUUGAUGUCCUUUUCCAACAGAUGUUCCUUUGAGUGGUGGAGCCCAAUGGUGCACUGUUCCCUGCAGUCUGCAGUGUUUUAUGGGCAAAAUUGGAUGUAACGAUAUAUUCAGUGCCUGUGGGCCCAGUGCUGUGUCCACAACAUAUUCAUAAAAAUAAUGCACCAUUUUUAAUAGACACACCUAAAGGUCUGUAUGAAAUGAAAUUAGAGGGGGACAAGUAACUGAGAUGAGUACUGCAAUUGCCUAAGACAGCCUUCCUCAACUUGGUGCCCUCCAAGUGCUUUGGACUAAAACAUCUAAAGAGUGUCAGGUUGGCAAGUGCUGUCUUAGUUUGUUCUAGAUUAAAACCAUGGGUGUUGUGGGGAAUUUUACCCUCUGGUUUCUGCAAAGACAAGAUUUCACCGAAAAGUCCAUGGUUAAAAGCUAUUCCAGAAUCUGCCUUUAAAAACUUAUUAGCGGUGUAUAUAUUGUUAUGCCAGUGAAAUGGAAGUCCAAACCUGUUUUCAGGAUAGCUUUAAGUGCUAAUUCAUUGUUGUUUUCUCAUUCGCUCCUCCCAUCCUCCCAAAACUGUAAGUAGAAAAAUAAGUAAGAGAUAAUGGCUCCAAAAUGAAUGUACAAGAAAUUGGAAGCCCAUGUUAAACAAUGACAAAUAAAUUGAUUUUGCUGGCUAGGAGG